AAGGAUCAUUGUCGAAACCUGCCCAGUAGAGCGACCCGCGAACAAGUGAAAACAAACCUGGACGAACCGAAGAGGGGCGCAUGCCCCCGAUCGCUCGCCCGUCGGACCACGGCCUCUUCUGCGACUGCACUGAUCUGCGGGUGGAGGGGUGGUCGUUGUGUUCGCACAAAAGAGGGUUGCACCGUCCGCGGAGGCAGCCUUCAGUAUCUGAUACUCAAACGACUCUCGGCAACGGAUAUCUCGGCUCUUGCAUCGAUGAAGAACGUAGCGAAAUGUGAUACUUGGUGUGAAUUGCAGAAUCCCGUGAACCAUCGAGUCUUUGAACGCAAGUUGCGCCCGAGGCCAUUAGGUCGAGGGCACGUCUGCCUGGGCGUCACACACAGCGUCACACCCCGUCAACCACGUUGUCGGGGAGCGGAGAUUGGCCCCCCGGGUCCCUGCGGGCACGGUCGGCACAAAUGUUUGUCCCCGGCGGCGAGCGUUGCGGUCAGUGGUGGUUGUAUUUCUCAUCCUCCAAAUACAUCAAGACGCGCCGUCCUCGUUGCAUGUUAGGACACAUCGACCCCACGGAGCCGAUUCGCACGACAUCCACCCUGCGACCCCAGGUCAGGAGGGAUCGUCCGCUGAGUUUAA
rnacentral:rRNA from 1 species